UGAAUUGUUUACUAUUUUAUUGUCAAAAAAGGGUAUGUCAAAUACUUAGUUCACUUUCUUGAAUACACUUUGAAAUUUCCUAUGAUUAUUGAAAUUAUUCACAUUAUUAUGCUAACAAAAAUAUUUACAUUACAUAUGGAGAAAUUGUUGUUUCUAUUUGCUUAUUUUCAAUAUGUUCACCGCCUAAGCUCAAACAAUAAAACCAUGCAAUAAAUCAAAUUUUAUACUAGACCAAAGCACUAACAACCGCAUUCAAUUCAAAGGCUCUCAACAGCUUUGCAUAUUUGCCGGCGUGCUUCACUUCACUCCAUCAAAUUCAAUUCAUAAAUGACGUUCAAAAUAACUGUAAUAUUCUUUCCAAAGGAGCCUUGGUUGUUACAGUCUUUGGGGAUGCUCAAGAAAUUGCAAGGUGUUUUUAUAAUAGACUUUUCCAUUCCUACAUCCCGGUAGGAGGGCAAAACACUUUCUGUACACCACUCCAGUGGUGCCAAACUGCUGAAUGACGAUCAUCAUCACAUGAAAGAGAAAGAGACUACACUAGGAAAGUACUCCAUGAAGCGAAUAAAGGCUAUUAAAAAGUGCUGGAUAAAAUUAACCGUAUUGCAAAAAAAAAAAAACAAUGCAUUGAAUGUGCUUAAAAAUUGCAGUCGAAGCAUCAAUAUUGUUUUGGAAAGAGUUACAUGGAUGGCAAUAAAGUGCAAUAGCACAGAUAAUACAACAGAAAUCAGGGCAAAACUCGCAUGAUGUAAAAAAAAAAAAAUAUUUUGUUUGUAAUUUCAAAAUUUAUCACAGCAUCAAAAUGUGAAAAAUACUAAAUUUUUAUUCAAAAUAAGCUACAACACUUACAAUUUAAAUAUGAUUAAAGUAACAUUAACCGCGGCGUAUAGUAACAUAAAGUAUUCUGCAGAAAUAUCUUGCUUUAUAAAAGACUUAGAUUGGCAGAAAGCAAAUACAAACAGUAACUCUAUACCUCAAUAGAGGUAUCCUAAUACUGGUGCAUAAGUUGGUAGAUUUACUGCUAGGCAGAUAAAAAGUACAUUCCAUACAGUCUUCAGAAUUUUUACAAGAAUAUACGAGUGAAUUGCGCAGACAAAAUAUUUAACUUUAUUCUUGGAGUUCGCAAAUUUCAUGAGUUAAAUAUACCUACAUAUAUCUUUAUAAGUCAUUUAUUAUCCGUGUCGUCUUGCUACAAAAAUAUAGCAAUAUUAAAGCAAUAAUUUAAUUUGUAACAUUUUUUCUUCCCAAUCGCAAAUAUGUAUAUCUACUUCAACACUAACAAAACUUAUAUACAAAUAUGUAAUAAAAACUUUAAAUAUAGCUUAAGACAUGCUCGCUUUAAACUAAGUUUUCAAGUUCUAAGUUUUUGACUGAACAAUAUUUUGACAUGUUGCGACGCUGUGCACUGCAAUGCUUAUGCUUAUGCAGACCUUGCACUUUGACCUUUGCCCACGUGAGCCAGUUUUACACAACGCGUUG